rnacentral:rRNA from 1 species
GUGGGGAAUAUUCCGCAAUGGACGAAAGUCUGACGGAGCAACGCCGCGUGAGUGAUGAAGGUUUUCGGACUGUAAAGCUCUGUUGUUUAGGACGAAAGUGCCUGUUGCAAAUAGUUACAGGUAUUGACGGUACUGAACGAGGAAGCCACGGCUAACUACGUGCCAGCAGCCGCGGUAAUACGUAGGUGGCAAGCGUUGUCCGGAAUUAUUGGGCGUAAAGAGCAUGUAGGCGGGAAUCUAAGUUGGUUGUGAAAAUGCGGGGCUCAACCCCGUAUGGCGAUGGAAACUGGGUUUCUUGGGUGCAGGAGAGGAAAGGGGAAUUCCCAGUGUAGCGGUGAAAUGCGUAGAUAUUGGGAGGAACACCAGUGGCGAAGGCGCCUUUCUGGACUGUGUCUGACGCUGAGAUGCGAAAGCCAGGGUAGCGAACGGGAUUAGAAACCCGAGUAGUCC